rnacentral:rRNA from 1 species
CAGCAGCCGCGGGAAUACGUAGGGUGCAAGCGUUAAUCGGAAUUACUGGGCGUAAAGCGUGCGCAGGCGGUUAUAUAAGACAGAUGUGAAAUCCCCGGGCUCAACCUGGGAACUGCAUUUGUGACUGUAUAGCUAGAGUACGGCAGAGGGGGAUGGAAUUCCGCGUGUAGCAGUGAAAUGCGUAGAUAUGCGGAGGAACACCGAUGGCGAAGGCAAUCCCCUGGUCCUGUACUGACGCUCAUGCACGAAAGCGUGGGGAGCAAACAGGAUUAGAUACCCCCGUAGUCCCUGUCUCUUAUAC